rnacentral:rRNA from 1 species
GUGGGGAAUUUUGGACAAUGGGCGAAAGCCUGAUCCAGCCAUGCCGCGUGCAGGAUGAAGGCCUUCGGGUUGUAAACUGCUUUUGUACGGAACGAAAAGACUCUGGUUAAUACCUGGGGUCCAUGACGGUACCGUAAGAAUAAGCACCGGCUAACUACGUGCCAGCAGCCGCGGUAAUACGUAGGGUGCAAGCGUUAAUCGGACUUACUGGGCGUAAAGCGUGCGCAGGUGGUUAUAUAAGACAGAUGUGAAAUCCCCGGGCUCAACCUGGGAACAGCAUUUGUGACUGUAUAGCUGGAGUACGGCAGAGGGGGAUGGAAUUCAGCGUGUAGCAGUGAAAUGCGUAGAUAUGCGGAGGAACACCGAUGGCGAAGGCAAUCCCCUGGGCCUGUACUGACGCUCAUGCACGAAAGCGUGGGGAGCAAACAGGAUUAGAAACCCGAGUAGUCC